rnacentral:rRNA from 1 species
AGUGAACGCUGGCGGUAGGCCUAACACAUGCAAGUCGAACGGCAGCACAGUAAGAGCUUGCUCUUACGGGUGGCGAGUGGCGGACGGGUGAGGAAUACAUCGGAAUCUACUUUUUCGUGGGGGAUAACGUAGGGAAACUUACGCUAAUACCGCAUACGACCUACGGGUGAAAGCAGGGGAUCUUCGGACCUUGCGCGAUUGAAUGAGCCGAUGUCGGAUUAGCUAGUUGGCGGGGUAAAGGCCCACCAAGGCGACGAUCCGUAGCUGGUCUGAGAGGAUGAUCAGCCACCCUGGAACUGAGACACGGUCCAGACUCCUACGGGAGGCAGCAGUGGGGAAUAUUGGACAAUGGGCGCAAGCCUGAUCCAGCCAUACCGCGUAGGUGAAGAAGGCCUUCGGGUUGUAAAGCCCUUUUGUUGGGAAAGAAAAGCAGCAGGUUAAUACCCCGCUGUUCUGACGGUACCCAAAGAAUAAGCACCGGCUAACUUCGUG